rnacentral:tRNA from 1 species
UUAACUGGAGCUAGAAGAGUAUAACAUUUACACUGUUAAGGUUUUGUAAAAACAAAUGGUUAAA